rnacentral:rRNA from 1 species
GUCCACACCGUAAACGAUGGAUACUAGGUGUUCGGAACUUCGGUUCUGAGUGCCCAAGGGAAACCGAUAAGUAUCCCACCUGGGGAGUACGUCCGCAAGGAUGAAACUCAAAGGAAUUGACGGGGGCCCGCACAAGCGGUGGAGCAUGUGGUUUAAUUCGAUGAUACGCGAGAAACCUUACCUGGGCUAGAAUGCCCCUGACAGGCCGUGAAAGCGGUUUUUCCUCGGGACAGGGUGCAAGGUGCUGCAUGGUUGUCGU